UCUGUGGUUACACCGAGCGGCACAGCCCUCCCAUCGUGGUUUGUCACGGAAACCGAAGAAAAAAAGCUCCCACCUUCCCUCCUCCCAUAGACUGAGGCUGGGGAGGAACCGAAGAAUCUAAUGCCUACGAGAUGACAUUUCCGAGUUAAGGGAGCCUAGUGUUUGUGUUCCUGAAGGGAAUGCUCGCCGAGAGGGAAACGCCUCAGACGUGAAGACAGUUCUUACUCUGGGUCAGCUCAAAGACGCACGCUGCAAAAGGAAGGGUGGAAUGGGGGUGCCCGGUGAUGAUGUCGAAGGCAAGAGGUGACGUUGUUCUGAACAGUAAGAGAACUUUGAACCGCACCGUUUGGCAAAAAAUAUGAUUACCCUGAAGGUAUUGAAGGAGUUUGCAGAAGAGAAGUAAUAGAGGACUACGGUGUGCAAGCAAGGAGUGCAAAGUGUCUGCAGAGGCAACAACACUACGCAGCUCCGUGGGGAGUGCACGCGCAAGCCGAGCGUGGGAGACUGUCCACCCGUCACACUUGUACUUUCACUGGAACCUGGAGAACAUGCUACCCAAAGCGCAACUGUUCAUCCGCUUCCUUUCAGCGAUCCAACUUCAAGAGUUCUGUCCCAAGAAUUCAAAACCGUGAGAAAAGUUGUGCGGACGACAGUCUCCCGAAGGCCAGUCACUGUUCCGCAGAAGAAGAACAGAGGUCAAGUCAUGGUCCAUUCAGAAUAUGGAAUAUGACGGAGGCACGGGGAUUAUUUUGACAGGUGGCAGUAUGUGAAACCCACACCCACGAAGAUAUGGACUAGGAGAUAGACACAGGAAGAUUGCAGAAAACCGGUAAAGCAAGCUGAGUUCGAGGGCAGUUGACUCUAACGAGGCUGUUACGUGACGCAUGCUCACAUUUCUGUUUUCCUAAUUACGUAACCGAUGCAGGGAAGCUUUCGGGUCUUAACAUAUUUAAGUUAUACGGAAGCGUGUUCAGUAGCAGGUGGAGGACGCCACCAUGUGGCUGCUCCUGGCUUGUCUGCUCCCCAUGAAUCAGAAGGUGUCAGCUCCCUGUAUCUUCUUCCUCAGAGGCACGCGCUCGUGCACGCACAUUAUAUGUGGCAUUAUUUUAACAUAAAAGUGAUAAUAUUGUAUUUCUUGAAACUCGGUUCUUUUAACAAUAUGUACUCUAGGACUUUCUGGAUCAAUAAAAUAUAAAUCUAUCUCA